AGAAAAUAACCGAAUCUCAUAAAUCAGGCAUUAAACAAAGCAAUUAAAAUGCAAAAAUAAAUUUUCACCAUUAUUGGGUUAUGGAGGAAAAAAUAAAUAAGAAAAAGAACACCGAAAUAUUUUUCAACCACCAUCGACUUCGGUCAUCUUUUUCCUUUAUGGUGGUCUCCAAGUUUUUGUCAUGGACUCAUGGUCAUCAGCC
rnacentral:lncRNA from 1 species